rfam:Stegodyphus mimosarum contig78309, whole genome shotgun sequence.
GCCUUCGUGGUGUAGUGGUCAGCACGCUCGGCGCGUAGUCGAGAGCUCCGAGGUUCGAGUCCCGGCGAGGGCA